rnacentral:rRNA from 1 species
GAAAGACAUCACUCACAGAAGAAGCACCGGCUAACUCCGUGCCAGCAGCCGCGGUAAUACGGAGGGUGCGUGCGUUAAUCGGAAUUACUGGGCGUAAAGCGCGCGUAGGUGGCUUGAUAAGCCGGUUGUGAAAGCCCCGGGCUCAACCUGGGAACGGCAUCCGGAACUGUCAAGCUAGAGUGCAGGAGAGGAAGGUAGAAUUCCCGGUGUAGCGGUGAAAUGCGUAGAGAUCGGGAGGAAUANCNNCANGUGGCGAAGGCGGCCUUCUGGACUGACACUGACACUGAGGUGCGAAAGCGUGGGUGGCAAACAGGAUUAGAUACCCUGGUAGUCCACGCCGUAAACGAUGUCGACCAGCCGUUGGGUGCCUAGCGCACUUUGUGGCGAAGUUAACGCGAUAAGUCGACCGCCUGGGGAGUACGGCCGCNAANNGGUUAAAACUCAAAUGAAUUGACGGGGGCCCGCACAAGCGGUGGAGCAUGUGGUUUAAUUCGAUGCAACGCGAAGAACCUUACCUACUCUUGACAUCCUGCGAACUUGUGAGAGAUCACUUGGUGCCUUCGGGAACGCAGAGACAGGUGCUGCAUGGCUGUCGUCAGCUCGUGUUGUGAAAUGUUGGGUUAAGUCCCGUAACGAGCGCAACCCUUGUCCUUAUUUGCCAGCGCGUAAUGGCGGGAACUCUAAGGAGACUGCCGGUGACAAACCGGAGGAAGGUGGGGACGACGUCAAGUCAUCAUGGCCCUUACGAGUAGGGCUACACACGUGCUACAAUGGUCGGUACAAAGGGUUGCCAACUCGCGAGAGUGAGCCAAUCCCGAAAAGCCGAUCUCAGUCCGGAUCGGAG